AACGAACGCUGGCGGCAUGCCUAACACAUGCAAGUCGAACGGAAGUAAGGAGCUUGCUUCUUACUUUAGUGGCGCACGGGUGAGUAACGCGUGGAUAAUCUACCUAAUGCACUGGGAUAACAUCUCGAAAGGGGUGCUAAUACCGGAUAAGCCCACGAGACCUUCGGGUCAUGCGGGAAAAGGAGGGGACCUUCGGGCCUUCCGACAUUAGAUGAGUCCGCGUCCCAUUAGCUAGUUGGCGGGGUAAUGGCCCACCAAGGCUACGAUGGGUAGCUGGUCUGAGAGGAUGAUCAGCCACACUGGAACUGAGACACGGUCCAGACUCCUACGGGAGGCAGCAGUGGGGAAUUUUGCGCAAUGGGGGAAACCCUGACGCAGCAAUGCCGCGUGAGUGAUGAAGGCUUUCGGGUCGUAAAGCUCUGUCAGAAGGGAAGAAAUGUGGGCAGCUAAUAUCUGUUCCACUUGACGGUACCUUCAAAGGAAGCACCGGCUAACUCCGUGCCAGCCGCCGCGGUAAAAC
rnacentral:rRNA from 1 species